ensembl:snRNA U6 U6 spliceosomal RNA
GUGCUCACUUGACAGCAUAUAUACUAAAAUUUAACAAUACAGAGAUUAGCAUCUCCCCUGCACAAGGAUGACAUGCAAAUUCAUGAAGCGUUCCACAUUUUG